GGAUCGAUGAUGACUUUUAUACAUGCAUUCCUUGGAAAGCUGAACAAAAUGAGUGAAAACUCUAUACCGUCAUCUUCGUUGAACUGAGGUCCAGCACAUUGCUCCAACAGUGGGUAGAUAGAGAGGGAAAACUUCCAUUUGUUGACGCAGGUUCCAUUGAGGGGUUUGUCCAGGCUUAGGAUGGGGUCCCCUUUGGGCAAAGGGAGUCACAGGGGAGUGCGGCCUCCUGUGCACAGGAGAUUCCUUGUGUGAAGGAUUUACCUCUGUGAGAGCAGGGUAGCACACAUAACUAUGCAGGAGCAGGUGAAUGUGCAGGUGGCACAGGAAGAGUUAGAUGGCAGCCUGUCUCUGCACAGCGAGGUUUGACUUGUCCUAGCUCUGCAUUCCCUCAUCCCUUAGAGGAAGUUGGUUUCUUCAGAAGACUUAAAUUUGUGGAAUUCAGUAGAAUAUUAUCCACAUAAUGUUCCCAGUGAAUGCUAGGCAUAUCACCCAAGAUGGCCAGGCCUCUGGCCAUAAACCAUAGUAAAUAGUAGGGUGUGCAUAUAUCCAUUAGGGAGAACCUGAAAGGUCCUUUUUUGGCCCUCCAAGGUGAAUGCCUGCAAAAGCAAGCGAAGCACGCUAUCUGCCUGCAUGAGCCCCAUGUACCUGGCGUGGCCUGUGCUCCUCACCGUGUGUCCCACUUCUGCUGCCCCUUCGCCUUGCCAGGUGGAGUCUGACUGAUUUUUUGCCACUGCUGCCACCACAGGCCACCUGGAGCCCCAGCCAGUUUGAGGAAAGUGGCUCUGCUUGAUUUUCCUUUUUUCUUUUUUUUUCCUCUUUUUUUCUCCAUUUCUGACUUCAGCAGGUGGGACUUGGAGCUUCUGCUUCUGCAGCCACAGAAGACUCCCCAGUUUGGAGGGCUGUGGUUGUGGGCUCCCUAAGCAUCUCUCUGCAGAGCCUCUUUGUUUUCCAUUUUACCCACCAUGUCAAUAAUUUAACACAGUGGCGGAGGAGUUCAUGUCUCUUCCUAUUUGUCAUUACUCUUCUAACUUUCACAGCUGUACUCGGCUACUGGUCAGAAUAAGAGAAAAAGCAGUGGAACCAGGAGGAUCCUACAAGAAAUAUUCCAUUUCACUUUUGUUUGUGCAUAUACCUUUUCUGUUUAAAUGUGGACUUCGAUUUGAUAUGCUUCCAGUGCAGACACAGAUCCCAUAUGUAAGAGAGUAUGGAGUUGCAUAGAAAGAAGACUUGUCAUUUUCCUGUACUGUUGGUGUUCUAAUCUGUCUUCGUGGUUUUUGCCUCUUCUGGCUUUAGAAGAUACACCAACAUGGUUUUGCAACAUAGCCUCUUCUUAUUUUAGUAAGGGACCAAAUGUGCAUGUCAGUAACAGGUGUUACCUUGAAUUGGGAUCAGUGCUUGUGUGACUAUAUUCAGUGAUGUCAUUUUCUGUCACACUCAAGUCACAAAAUAUUUAACCACUUAUUUUUUUAUCUCUGGAGGAAUAAUCCAAAAGAUUGUACUGGUAAAGCCAGAACAAUUUCCAAUUAUGCUAAUUAUUUGUAUAAUACUUAGUUGGCUUUAUCUGUGGUUUGUUGGCUUAUUUUCCUGUAGCUUUUCAAGGUUUUUCUAUGAGUUCUGUUAAAGAGUCUGAAAAUGGAGCGUAGAAGACAUGCUUCGAUUUCCAGGAUGGUUGUGUUUUCCAGAGAGGCGGAGGUAAACCACUGGCGCAGCCCUGCCUCCCACAGAUAAUUCCGGGUGCAGUGUUUCAUAUCUAGACUUGGACUUCUAUCCUACCAUACUUCUUUGUGUGCAGUUCAUUGUGGAACCAGCACAGAUUUUCAUACGAAAGUUAUUUCUUUUUAACCUCAAAAAGUGACAGAAUGGAGUGUAUCAUGAAAAAGUCUGACAUCAAAACCUCAAAAUGUGAUAUUGAUUGGGUGAGAUAGAAUUCCAUGGAAUUUCAUUGCCAAACCAGUGAAGUGCUAAUUUUGACAUUUGUACCAGCUAACGUAGCUGUGAAGAAACACACCAAUACACUUCUAAGGACAGCAUAGACCAAGAUCUAGGUUUCAUAUGGAUGAAUUUAUUCUUCCCUUUGAGGCAAGACAAGAAGGAAAGAAAGUAUUGGGAAUAAUGCUGCCCUCCCAUCCUCAAGGGCCAGUGGGAACUCUAAUAUUGAUUGGGUGAGAUACAAUUCCAUGGAAUUUUACCACUGAACCAGUGGAGGGCUAAUUUUGUCAUUUGUACCAGUUAACUAACUUGGGAGGAAACAGAACAACACACUCCUGAGAUUGGUUUUCACAGAAUUCCAUGGACUUUAACUGCUGAACCAAUGAUGCACUGAUUUUGUCACUUGUACCAGCUAACGCAUCUGGGAGGCAACAAAACAAUACUCUCCUGAGGUUAAUGUGGACCAAAAACUAGAUUUCAUAUAAAAGAGUUUAUUCCUUCUACUUGAGGUGUGACAUGAAGGAAAGUAAUGGAAAUAAUUCUGCCCUCCCAUUCUCAAGGGCCAGGGGGAAUUCAAAUAUUGAACGGAAGUGAUUUUGGAAUUGCAUGGAAUUCUCACUGCCAUCCCAAAGAAAUGCUGAUCUUGUCACUCUUACCUGUUUCAUUCCCUGGGGGCAGAACAAAAGGACGCACUCCAAAGAUCGGCAUGAACCAAGAACUGGGUUUCAUAUAAAAUAUUUUAUUCUGUCCUCUUGAGAUGUGACAUGAGAAAAGUAUUGAGAAUACUUCUAUCACCUCAUCUUCAAGAAUCCGUAGGAAUUCUCCCAUGGUGGACUUUACGGUUAACCUGAACAGGUCUUGGAAAAAGGACUUUAAACAUUCUCCUGUUCUGUGGAAUAAGUAUACUUUUUUCUGGACAUACACCUUGUCAGUUCCAUGUGAUACUAGAGUUGCAUAGAUUUUUAACCUUUACGCCAAUGAAGAUCUGAGGCAAACAUUGCCCCUUUUUUAGAAGUUUGCAUUUGUCACUGAUAACUGUAAUAAUUGAUCUUGUUGAAAAGCCUGGGAAAUGAAGAUCUGAUAUGUCACUUUUACCGGCUUCCUCAACUGAAAAAGAAUACAAUGAAACACGCUGAGAAUUUUUGUGCUUUCUCAGUCUUGCUGAUGAUCUUUCUAUGGGCCUGAAGCGUGGAGAGUGCCAGAGAGGCUGAUCCUCAGCAGUGUGGCAGAGGAAAGUUGGGUGCGACUAAGGGGUAUGCGGUGCCCACAUGCCACUGGGUCCUCAGCAGUACCACCUGAUUGGAAGUGAUAUUGGUGGAAGACAACAUUUUGCCGCUUGGAAUUCUCACCUCCACACCAAAGAAGUACUGUUUUUGUCAUUUGCACCAGCUUCUUUCUCCAGGAAAGAUCAAAACGAUGCACUGCAAGUGUGAUUGGUCCAGAUAGCUGCCUUAUCCAACUGCCUCCUUUGGACCACUUCAUCAUGGGACAGCUUGAUGCAAUCUACUUGACAAGACCCUGGAACCCCACACCCCUCAUGGAACCAGUGUCCACCUCCCAGUCACAGUGUGACCCCAGGGAACUCUUGCCUGCUUGCUUUAAACCCACCACUUAAAAGUCUCCACAGAAAACCUGUUUGAAUAGUACCCUUGACCCAAUAAGGGCAUUGGCCCCUGGGUGUCUCUCUCUCUCUCUCUCUCUCUCUCUCCCUCUCUCUCCCUCUCUCUCUCUCGCUCCCUGACCUCUGCGUGUGGACUCCAGGCAUGCCAUAUACCCCUCAGGACCUGAAGCAAAAGAAUGAAUUAAAGAAAACUCCAGAGAAUGAGCUGACAACCUACUCCCUGGUCAGUGGCUCUCCAUGCCUACCUGUGGUCUCUUGGACACCCUUGCAGAAGAUGACUUCCUGGGAACUCUUCUGGGAGUGAAUGUUAUCAGCAAAUUCCCAAAACAACACCCCUUAGACAAAAAGCCUCCUCACCUAUGCAUUGCCUAGACCACCCACUAAAGGUGAUGGCCACAAAGAGGUGGAUUUGUUGAGUUGGUGCCAUUCCUUCUACUGCCAGCUUCACCAAAACAAUGACACAGUCUUCCUUCCGCAUGGAGACUCUUCUCUUUCCUGUGUUGCAGUGGAUGCCUCCUGCAGAUAAGAAAUGCUUAACUGAGAAAUGCUCAUGUUGGGAUAUCAUCGAUGAGACUUUAAUUUGGGCAUGGUGACUGUUUCCCUUGCUGCCACUUGACUCAAUCCCAGGAGCCUCAGUAGAGGAUAUAAUAUUACACAAGAUGCUCAAAAUGGUGGAAUUGCUCAGUGCUCCCAUAAAUAUACAUUUAUAAUUUUCAUUUGCCACAUGGUAAACUGAAAAAUACAGACUAUAUUAAAAAGAAACUGCAUGAUUUUUUUUCAAAAAUUCAAAGCAUAUUUAAAUAAUAUAUAAAUUAAAUGCCCUCCUCUCUUCCAAUUCUGUCCCUAUAGUUUUCCUCUAUUAAGUGAACUACAUGCAUUCUUUUAGUGGAUAGAUGCACACAAACACACAAGCCAUUAUGGGGAAGGAUCCACGUGUGUGGCCAUAUUGUAACACAUUUUUCUGCAAAUCACCUCUUUCAUUUAACAGCCCUUAUUCAAUGGCCUUUUUCUUUUUCAGUAGUACAUACACAUCUGUGUCAUUUGUUGAAUGACGACAUGAAUGUUUUGUAGAUAAAAUAUAAUUAAAUGUUUUAAGCAUUUCUCACUCAUAGAUAUUUAUGUUAGCACCAAAUUUCUGUGCAAUGAACCUCCCUAUAUAUCAGUAAUUUUGCAUUUGUCUAUAAUAUCAUAAUAAAUUACUUAUCAGUUGAAUUACUGGGAUUAAGUAUGUGCACACUUUAUAUUUAUAUUUUGAAAAUUAUUGCAAGAUUGCCUUCAAAAAUGUGGUUAACAACUUUAUCUUCAAAUGGCAAUGAAUGAGAUUGCCAGCUUUCCUACAGCCUCACAGACAAUGGAUUUUAUAAAUAUUUAACAUUUUUGCCAAUGUGAUCACCCAAACUAUUGUCUUAAAUUGUAUCUCUUUUGUUUUUGAGUUUGGUCAUUUUUUCAUGUUUAUUAGCCAUCUGUAUUUUUUAAUUUCUUCUUUAUGUCCAAUUUUGUGGGUGGGAGGAGGAUUUAGUCUCUUCCUGAUUUCGAAGAGCUCAUUUACUAUUUCGGGAAAUAAGAUUUGGAUUGUCAACCAUUAUAGCUAUUUUUUACACACUUUUCAACUUUGUUUUUGUUAUAAGAAUGUGUAUGAUUGUUACAUGUCCAAGUAUAACCAUGUUCGCUUUUAUGGCUUCUGAGUUUCAUGUCAUUUUUGGAAAGAUAUAUAUAUUGAGUCCAUAAAACCCUUCACCUAUGUUAAAUUCUAAUUCUUUUGUGUUUUUUUAAUUCAAAUUCUUAAAUCAUGAGAAAUUUUUUUGUUUUGAAAUCUUAAAGUUGCCAAGUUACUUGCCAUUACUUGCGAUUAUUUGCCAAUAAUUGCCCAUUUAUCUGUACCGCCAUCUUGCGCAUAUGCUGUACUCUCAUCUGUGACUGGCUCCAUUUUUGUUCUGUGGAUUUGUGUGUCUCUUCUUCUGCCUCCUGUCUCGUGUCUGCUCGUUGGAAGAAAUUACAGUUUAGACUGCAAUUUCAUCAACUUUAAUAAAUCAAUUGAGGGGAGAAUUGGUUUUUAAAAAUAUUAAGUAAGUCUUCGUAUCCAAGGACAAGGUAUGUCUUUUCUUAUUCAAUAAUUUUAAUUACUGUUAAUAUUUUCACUGUGGUGAUGGGAGUUUUUCUUUUAAUUUAUUUUCUUGUUCAUUUUUUGUAUCUAAAGUUUUUGUUUUGUUUUGUUUUGGGGGUAAGUUGUCACCUUACUGUUUCUUGUUGCUUUUCAGAUUUUUUCAAAGUAUAGACUAAAUCCUUCACAAAUAUUUAAAGUUUUUAUUUUCCCCCUUCAUAUUGAUCCUGAUUUUAGUUAUGUUGACAAAGUCCACAGACUGUUACUAUCAGAACACUUGAACAGUUAUGGAAAUAUUACCUACCCUUGAUUUAAUCAGAGUUUAAUGGUAUGCUUCUUUGGUUUGACUGGCACAUUGUCGCUGGUCAUUUCCUCCCAAAGACCACCAGAAAGAGCUAUGAUCAAGCAAAGCUGAGUUUGUUAAACUUACCUGCAGCAAGGGAAAACACCACCUUGAUAGGGUUUAAUAAUGUUUCAAAAUCAAGAAAUGAGGCUUUGGGGUCUGGGCAGGGAACUAAUUAGAAAUGGGCAAAAUUUGUCAUGCAAUACCUUGUGGGAAAGUGAGAUGAGGUUCUUAAUGUGAGUAUUGAUGGUGAAAUCAUUUUCUAGGUGAGCUGUUUGCCUAUAUAAAGAUGUUAUCAAUGACAGAAGAACUAUUUGCCUAGAUAAACAAACUGAAUUUAUUUAUUGGUUUACAGUUUUAUCUUGCUGGGCAGGACUCUGCUGGGGGUGGUAUCAGGUCUUAUUCCCAAUAGGUAAGUUAUUUGGAUAUGGGUGGUCUUAAUCAUCAAUGUGUAAAAUGCUGAUUUUAAGUGCGAAAUACUUUGUCUACCAUGUUAGGAAAGUCUGCCACCUUUUAUCUUUUUUAAGGAAUUUUAAUCAAAACCAGGUGGUAGAUAUAAUCAAAUUGUUUUGCAGAAUCAAUUUUCCUGUUCUCUUUAAAGACUUUUAUCACUGUGAAUUAAUUUACUAUUAUUGCAACUUCCUUUAAUUCCUUGAAUGAACAGACCCUACUGGUUUUAAAAAUGUUUUAUUCUUUUAAUUUACUACUUAAUUGUGGGUAUUUUAAUUUGAUUUGGAAUUUUUACAAGUAUACAACUAAGUGAAAUUGAUCUGUGAUUUUUCUUUUUUGUGCUAUUUUUGUCAUGUUUUGAUAUCAGAUAUUCUGGUUGUGUUAAAAUAAUUUUGAGGAUUUUCUUCUUAUACUGUGUUCUAGAGUGGGUAAAAAAGCCCUAGUCUCACUAUCAGUGUUUAAGUGAACACAUCAGUGACAUCAUCUGGACUCUCCUUUGUUUUUGCUGGUUUGGAGUUAGGACAUCUAGAAGUUUUUUUCUUUUUUUCCUUUUUUUGUAUGGUUAUUGCUUGUUCUUUGUUUUGUGUCAAAUUUAACCUGUUUUCUCUUAGCAAAUCACAGCUCAUGCAGAUUUUCAAACACAUUAGCCUUGUUAUACAAAGUGUUCUUUCAUCAUUCUAUUAAAUUUCCAUUUUCAUUCCAGUUAUAGUUAUUUCUGCUGUGCCUUUGUUAAUGAAUAAGUUUAAACAGUGGAUGUUUAGCAUCACUAGCCUUCCCCUUCCAUCUCCCUUAAUCAGGACCUUGGUAUAAUUUAUCAGGUAUUUUUUAAGGUUCUAAUUUACUUAUAUAUAUUGUUUCUGUAUUCUUUUGUUUCUUUUCUUAAUAAAUUCUUAAA
ensembl:lncRNA SNHG14 small nucleolar RNA host gene 14